AAUUGCUUAUUAUCACUAUAAAAUAUGUACAAGAAUUCUAUCAAAAUUAUUAUCUAACAACUACUAAAAAUCAACUAUUACCUCACAAUAACUUGGCAAAUCAUGGCUAAUCUACCAUAGUCAUUAACUCUCAAGCCAUCUCUUGCUCUUAUUGCUAUCAAACCAUCUCCACAUUCUUACAAUAUCCUUAUUCUGAUCCUCUCCAAUAAAAAAGCCUUUACUUCACUACCUCCUCAAAACAAUUGUGUAGCAUAGAUCUAUUAAUACCAACCUUAAGUAAUACUAUCAUCACCUUUUUUUUAAUCAGCUUUAGCUUCUUUAAAUUUUUCACUCCUUCCUUCUCCUGAUUGGCAAUCUUUUCUACUAAUUUAGAUCUAUUUCUAUGCCCUACAACCAAAAACUUCUUCACAUCGCAACCCUCGCCUUCUUCCCUUUGAAAUCUCUCACUCACUUUAUAAAACUAAAUCACAAUCCAAUCU
rnacentral:lncRNA from 1 species